rnacentral:lncRNA from 1 species
AUUUCACCAUAUCAUUAUUCACAUAAUAUCUGUUUAUGCCUGCAUUUUCAGGUUUCCCAUUACCUCCCAGUGCCCCUCCUCCUAUGAUACCACCAUUAGAUAGUGGACGUUUGGCAGGAGGCUAUGAUCGACGCUCAGCUACAUCUUACCCAUUCUCUGCAGGUGUGUAUUCACCUGCAGUGGGCAUGGCUUUAUGGUCAGGUGUGAUAGACAGUGGAAAAGCAUGGGAAAACUACAACCGCCAUAACAAAGAAAGGGUGAGAGAGAAAACCAGAGAAAGAGGACACAAGAAAGAGCGGGAGAGAGAGCGGUAUAGAGAAACAGAUAGAGAACACAGUCCGUCCUCACAAGAUCACAGAAGUGUGGAGGAGUGUCUCGACACAGGGAUCACAGUCAUUAUGGAAGCGAGAGGUACAGGGAAAGCUCGGGAAGAGACGGAAUGA